rnacentral:lncRNA from 1 species
ACUAGAUUUUCACCGAAAACGCUAAACCUCGGCUGAGAACAGCUGGUGAGAUUACAUGGAGAAGCUGUGACAUCAUGGGAUCUUGUGAAUGGGUGAUUACAUCUCCAAAGGAUAAGUAAGGAAGACCAGAAGCUGUGUGCGUUUUUAACACCUUGUUUAAUAAUUGCACCUAAUACCUGAGAUGAUGUCUGGGCAGGAUUACAGACACACAAGGGUUUCUGUCAAGUUGAUCAAAAUGCGAAGCAAGCAGUUGAGAUAAGCCAUGCCAGGUUCCUGUGUGGCAUGUCAACCCUUCAGAAGAAACUAACUCUUUGAACAGAGUUUAUGUUUGGCAAGACUUUACCGCUGGGGGACACAGGAGAGAGAUGCUGUGGACAACUUGGGCCUAAGAACACAGCUGUGGAUCUGUGUCCCAUUUUGUGGAAGAGGUGAGCUGUUUUCAUUGGAGACGAGGCAGGUUGAGGAAGAACUAGAGGAGGCACCAAGAGAAACAAGAAGCCCAGGGAGUAACCAAAGGAGUGGUCGUGUUUCUCUUGAAAUGACUGCAGUGAGGUGUGGCUGUGAAUUCAACUAA